rnacentral:piRNA from 1 species
UAAUUAAAUGGAAGUGUGAAGAC